rfam:Agrilus planipennis Contig27697, whole genome shotgun sequence.
ACUUUACCUGAGGUUUACGACUGAAGAGGACCUGAACCGAUAGGUCCUAGAACGGCCUGCGGUAGAGGGGUUUUAGUCGGUAGGUCCGAGGACACCUUCCUCAGGAAUCCGACACUACCCAGCCAUACGGAUGGCUGGGUGUCUUUUGAAGAUUUCCCCUCUUCCAC